rnacentral:lncRNA from 1 species
AAAUUAGAAGAGAAGCUCUUUUUAAUGGCUUUCAAGGUGGCGUAAAACGAACCCAAUAAGCUUCGGUGGCGUAAAACGAACCAAACAAGCUUUAGAUCCAGCAAAAUAUGAGAAAGCUCGCCGAAAAUCGGUGUAAAAGAUCAAUGGCGAGAAAGCAGGAAAAUGCGAGGUAGAGAAUAGGGUUUUAUUCUUAGGUAUGCCCGGGUUCAGGUUGAUCUUAUGCAACCUCCUCUAAUAUAUAUGUAUAUAUAUAUAGAGAGAGAGAGAGAGAAUAUCUAUAUCUAUAUAUAUAGAGAGAGAGAAUAAAAAAUAGACUAAUUAAUUAAGGAGAUUUUCACAUUGUUAGAUACAAAGUUUCUAAUUCUAUUAUGUUUUGAUUAUUCUAUUAAGUUAAAUUUAAAUUAUACUUAAUCUAAUUAAGAUAUUUUCAGUCUUUAUAGAUUUAUAUUUCUAAUCAUAUUAAGAUCUAGCCACUAUUAUAAAUAUAUCUUUUAUUCUAUUUUUUUGGUGCGGCAGAUGAGAGAGAGUAUGAGUGUUUUUUUUUGGAUUAGGAUUUUGUGAGAGAGGCAUAGUUUGUAUACCACUUUAAUUAUAAUGAAGAUCUCCGUUCCGUCUUCGCUCGUGAACAUAGGCCAAUGGCCAAACCACAUAAAUAAUAUAUGCUUUAUUUUUUCUUCUCUCGUUCUCGAUUAUUGUUUGGUAUUUUCUCACCCGACGAACAAGAUCUUUUCCGCUUUAGUUUUAACACACAUAUAUACCGUGGAAAAUAUGUGAAAUUGAGGAAAUAUUUCUCAGAUAAAGUUGGUAAUUAUGUGUACAUCUAUAUCAGUCUAAUUUAUUCUCUCAUGCACAAUGAAUAUCAGGUAAAUCAUAUCACGUGCGCUAACGAAAAAUAUAGGAAAGAGAUAACAAAGUAAUAGGCUUACAGAGUUAUACAUCAUAAAAUGUUGGAGUGGGAAUUGAAUUCUCAACCUUUCAGAACACAAGGAGCUAAAAAAUGAUUGUGAUAUCAUGCUGCCCAAAAGAGUCAUCUAGUAAGAAAUGAUUUACGAAUAUUAGUUGUAAUAAAAGCAUAUUGGCAUAUAUAUAGAUGUGUUUAAAGGGUUUGCAUAUAUAUAUAUAUAUAUAUAUAUAUAUAUAUGCUGUGGCUACUAUAUUCUUAUGAGUAUAGAUCCCCUUGCACUUAUAAAUUUUUAACCGUUGAUUGAUGGGAUGUGUGGUUAGGAUGAUGAUGGUCUCCACUUAGAAUAAUAGUGCUUCCCUAGGGUUGAGUCGGUAGUUGGUUGAAUAGUAUGAUCUAACAGGUGAAAAUGAUCAAUGGAAUAAAUUUAAGAGCCGAAAACUUAUAAGUAUAAGAGAGCCAAUACUUAUAAAAGUAUAGUAGCCGAAAUAUAUAUAUAUAUAUAUAUAUAUAUAUAUAUAAAAUAUCUGCAUGAAAAUACAAACUACUACAAAAAUAUUUGGCAUAGUUUUGCGCAUUUUAGGUGUAUUUAUGCCACAAAAAAAAAACUCCUUAAGUAAAUGGAGGGCCUUCUUUUCAUAUGGGGACAGCAGAGAAAUUGCUAAUUAAGUUGUUUAGAUAUGCACAACUCCCGUUGCUCCUUAAAGUAAGGUUUUUUUUUUUAAAAAAUAAAAUAUCAUUGAAAUUUUUAUUUCCUCAAUAUCAUGUGGUCCUUUUACUGCCUCUGAUUCUCUUGGUAGAAGCAAACCUGUGGUUUUUUUUAGCUGCAUAGGAUUUGAGCUCCAAUGGCUUAGAAAGUAGAGAAGCCAUGUGCAGGGAGUUAAGCUCACCACAUGGCACUAAUUUGCUAAGUACCAAUUAGAAAAGUCCAAAAGAGAUUAAUUUAAGAGAAGGGUUAUAAUUAUUAAAAGCAACAACACUGUACUACUUUCUAAUAAUUUCUUUUUCCAAAGAAAAGGCUCUCCAAAGUCCAAGAAACCAUCUGAUCGAUAAAUUGAAAUAUAUUUUAUUUAGCAGCCUCGAUCGUAGGAUACUAUCUGUUUCAUUUAUUCAGCAAAUGAAUUUAGCUAUAAAAAGUAAGACAACGAUAUUUCAAAUUAUCUGCAGAGAAAACUGCACUGUUCUCUCGGCUAUCUUAACUUACGAAAUUAAGUGCGUUUAAAAGUGAUCUUUUCUCUCUUUCUCUUUACUAUAUUAUUUUUUCUUUCUAAAGGAGAUUAGUUGCUACUCAUUGUCUCUCUUUGGUGGAGGAAACUUUCAUUAGCAAUAUUAAAAAUCUCAUGGUGAAAAAGAAAAGGUUUAAACUCAUCUAUCUUUUGAAUAGUGAAUAGAUAUAUUGGACUCCCCAGAGAGCCAAGCAAUCAAUGGAUGUUUAUUUAUCUAAUUUUUCUUUUUUCCUUUAUUUAUUCUUGUCUUUGCUACCUUCCAGACAAAUAAUUCUAUUCUUGAAACAUAUGUGUGGAAUUCAAAUUGACUUCUUAAAAAGAAGUAAGAUGAGAUAAAAAGUCACUCUCUCCCCUAUCAACAUGAAAUGGCGACCGUCCCUAGCGCAAGUAGCAAAAGAUUUGAUGAUUGGUAUCCGAGAUCCCAAGUUUGAAUUCUAAUUGAUUCAUAUUUUCAGCUACGUUUAUUUUUAAAUAAAAUAAACGAAGUGGGUAGUAUGCUACCUAUCUCUCUCUCAAAAAAAAAAAAAAAAUCAAAUGGUGCUUAAAACUUAAAAUCAUUGUGGCUACUGGCUAGCUAGUUAGUGGUAUGCCCACUCAAAGUUCUUCUUCUUUUUAUUUUUUAUUUUUAACUAUAAAACAUAGGAUAAUUCUAUGUACAAAUCAUUAAUUAAUAGGAAAAGAAAAAUUUACACAGUAGCAACUCUGCUAAGAUCACCCCAAAUCCUGUGGAAACUAUAAAUGAAGUCAUUUUAUAAUUAAUUAGAUUAGAAUUAUUUUACUUAUUAGAUUAGAACAUAUACUUUAUCUGAGAUAUCUAAUAGAUUAGGGAUAUUUUUUGAUUUAUACUAUUCUUACUUAGUUUUCAUAUUAUAUUAAUUAAGACAAUUAUAAUAAUUCUAGGCCUAUAAAUAAAGUUCUUCCUUUUGUAAAUAAUGAUCAAUUUUAUUAAUAAAGAAGUUAGCUCUUUUUAAUGGCUUUUCUUGGCUAAGCUAAAUUAGAAGAGAAGCUCUUUUUAAUGGCUUUCAAGGUGGCGUAAAACGAACCCAAUAAGCUUCGGUGGCGUAAAACGAACCAAACAAGCUUUAGAUCCAGCAAAAUAUGAGAAAGCUCGCCGAAAAUCGGUGUAAAAGAUCAAUGGCGAGAAAGCAGGAAAAUGCGAGGUAGAGAAUAGGGUUUUAUUCUUAGGUAUGCCCGGGUUCAGGUUGAUCUUAUGCAACCUCCUCUAAUAUAUAUGUAUAUAUAUAUAGAGAGAGAGAGAGAGUUGAGCUAUGAUACUUUUACAAGUAUCAUCAUCAUGGUGCUAUUAGGUUUAAGCCAUUGGAUCUACUUUUUGAUUAUUAAUAGCCCUUGGAUUAAACACUAUUCCACCUACCACCACCUACCACCACCUACCACCAUCAUCUCAACCUCACAUCUCUCCAUCCAAGGGCUAAAAACACACAAGUAUCACCCCCAUGAUACUUUUACAAGUAUUCUAGCCCUACUCUACACAUAUAUAUAUAUAUAUAUACACACACACACACACACACAUAUAU